AAGAAAUUAAAGAAAUUGGUCACUACAAGAUGAGGGAGUUUUCCUAUCCCAUACAAAGGUCUUACACACAGGACACACCAAAGUCUGGAAAGCAAGUGGGAUCUUCCAGAAGCCUCUGCAAUUAACACUAUUGGAUAACACAGUGUUAUUGUCAACUGUGAGAAAGAAUGUUAGAGGGCAAGUUUAUCUCACUUGCCCUCAAGUGAUAAAGUCUUCAUCCACAGGGAGCUGUUGGUUAUCUUUAGGGAUGGGAAGACAUACAAGAAAGCAACCAGUUACUGGAUUAUAUGAGGAAGGCUGUGACAGAGGCCAUACCGGAUGCUGCAGGAACACAGAAAAAGAAGGAUCUACGCCCUUUGAUGAAUUCCCAGGAAGCCUUCCCAGAUGUGUCAGUGGGCUCUUGAAGGGUGCUCAUCUACUGGAAAGGCUUCAACUUUCACCUUUGCUGAUGACGUUCCAGUCCCAGUCUGCCCAAUCUGAAUUCUUCCUCAGCCUCUGCUUAGCUUCCUAUCCUCCGUUCCUUCUCCUAUGAUCUAGGCAGACAUUGAGGAUUAUGCCUGGCACAUUUUCUCAGAGGGCCAAGGCACAGCCUUAAUUUUCUACUCAACUGGGAGCUCUAGGCACCCAUUACCAUUCAGAGUUGGCAUUCGAGACAAAAACUAUUUUUUUCCUGAAUCUAGUCCUUUUAAUUUUAAGCACCUUAAGGAAUAUACCUUUUAAAGUGUCUUGAAGGAUUUCAUUCCCCCAUUCAUUCAGCAAACUGUAAAGAGCUUCCCAUGUGCUGCCUGUUGAAUGCAACAUCCUCCCUCUCAAACCCUCUCCUGCUCAACAGGUCCCCUGCUAUCAAUGAUACCAGCAAUAGCACUGAAAGAAUAAAUAUACACCAGAUAACACAGGUGAGUGGGCACAGCUCUCCAUGCCACCCUAGUUCCUCACAAAGGCAUGCCCAAUAUUUGGAGGUACUGACAGCCUUAGAGGAAGGAGAAAUCCACCAGGUCAGAAAAAUUCUGAGCUGUAGGCUUGCUGCCUUUCUUACCUACAUUUGAGGAAAGGCCAGGUUAGCAUCCAAGAGUCCACCCUAUCACCAUAUAAAGAAUUCCAUGCCAGACACAUAUACUUCUAUUUCCUAAUGCUGGUCCUGGGUCUACAGUGGUCUUAUUAUAAUCAGUAGACCAUUCUAGUUCAAGCCCUUAUCCCCUCCUAUAUGGAUAACUGUAACAGACUCUCCUCUCCAGUUCAUCCUAUAAAUGCCAUAGCCAAACUCUACCCCAAUUUUAACUCCUAGUAAUUACUGAUUUGUUCUAUAGGUUGGUGCAACAGUAAUUGCGGUUUUCACCAUUAAAAGUAAUGGCGAAAGUAAUGCUUAGCCUCCUAUUUGGCGAAACUGUAAUGGUGAAAACUGUAAUUACUGUUGCAUCAACCUAAUACAACACUGCAAUUUUGUUUUUUAAGAAUUUCAAAUAGGCCAGGCACGGUGGCUCACACCUGUAAUCCCAGCACUUUGGAAGGCCGAGGCGGGUGGAUCACCAGGUCAGGAGUUCAAGACCAGCCUGACCAACAUGGUGAAACCCCAUCUCUACUAAAAAUACAAAAAUAAGUUGGGUGUAGUGGCGUGCGCCUGUAGUCCCAGCUACUCAGGAGGCUGAGGCAGGAGAAUAGCUUGAACCUGGGAGGCGGAGGUUGCAGUGAACUAAGAUCGCACUGCACUCCAGCCUGAGCGACAGAGCAAGACUCCAUCUCAAAAAAAAAAAAAAA
rnacentral:lncRNA from 10 species